AUUGCCUAGAAAUUCGUAUGAUUUUCUGUGAAAAUUGUUUUUAAUUAUAAAUUUUUGUGGGAAAGGAAAUUGCUAUGAGGAUACCAAGCUCCCUCUUCUGAGUUAAAGUUGAGGAAAAUUGCUGGCAGAAUCGAACCUAAUUAUUAUAUCGCCACCACUGAGGUUGAUUUGGAGCUUUCAGCGGACGAGUAUGAACUUGGUUGCUGUGUUAGAAUUGUAAAGAAUUGUUCUUUGAUGUUUUUAGUGUAAUUUCAAAUCAUCAUUAACAAAUUCGGUGAGACCCAACGAUUUCAUUUCUACUAAAACUAAUUUGUAUUCGAUUUCAAAUUCAAAUUCAUGUGAUGGGUCCUGGUGAAUGCUUCGUUGUGGCAAAUCUAAUAUUCUGCGUUGUGCCCAAAUUGGCCCAAAUUGUUGUGAAACGCUAUUGCAAACUUGGAUGUUAUUGGUCGUUUAAUCUCAACUGGGCAUCAAAGUUUUUGCGGAAACAAUAUAUGCAAGAAAAUUGUUCAUUUGUAUACUUUGAUAGAAACUCAAUAGGUUCAAUCUUGAGUGUGCUUCUCGCAUGGGCUGGGUCAUGUGGCUAAGUUAUUGGUUCAACCUGUUCGAUCCGGAUUCGAUUAGUGACCCACUACAAUACGAAUUUUGCCAAAGAGAAUGUUUUUUAAACUGAUUGGAUCUACUUUUCAAUUUGGUCAUUCCAUUCCAUCAAUCA